GAAUAUUCUGCCCUCAUCCGAGUUCAUUGUCUCACCAACUCAGUUGCUUGGAAGCCAAGUUUCCGAGUUCACCCCCCACUGCUUCGCCUACAUAUUCUUCUCUUCACUCCCCUCUCUUUCAGAGAUCCAGAGCUCAAUCUUGUGAUUUGGCUCUUUCUUUUGGGUUUUCGUUCUCUGUUUCUCCCUUCUUCUUCUCCAAAGGGGUUCGCCUCUCGAUCCUCUGUUUCUUGGUUUCCAUCCCCUCUGUUCUUUACUCUUUACUCCCUACUCCUCCUCUCUACGCCCUCUUCUCUAUCUUCACCAGGGGAUCGCGAAGUUAAUCGUCGGAUUCGCUUUCUUCCUGGGGUUUCAAAUUUUCUAUCCCCUGUUUUUGGUGUCUUCUCCUCCUCACUCCAUUGAGUGGUUUUCUCUGUUUCCUGGGUUACAUCCCCUGUUUUCCCCUAAUGCCAAUUUUACCCUAAAGCAAGCAUUAAACGCGUGCCGUUAGAAGCGUACAAAGCCGGAAUCGUCUUCACCAUUGGGAUCCAUAUCUUUCACUAGGCAGGACUUAGGAGUAUUGUGGGCGCCUGUUUUGGGACAUAUAUAGCGCACCAAACACCCUCGAGGAUCAUCCCCCGUUUCCAAAGGAUUCCACGCCUCAAUCCCUGUUUCUUUCUGCUCUGUUUCUUCAGCAAUGGAAACUGCAGUCUCCAGUAAUCCCAAUUACAAUCCAGGAAGACACCUCCCUCCUCGACAGAGAGGAGGGAUCAAAAAACAGAUAUUCAAAGACUUUCUUAAAUAUGUUAGUGCCAUCGCGCUUUUACUGGGCCAGAUGGAAGCAAAUCAAGGGGAUAGUGGCGGUCGUCGCCUUAGCUCCGCCUCCGCACCUCUUCCUGAAAUCCCUCCUGGCUACACUUCAGAUCUGAGGCGUUGAUUCAUUAAAUUAGAUUUGGCGAUGGUUGUCUUUUGAUAUAUGCUUGGAUGCCGAGAAAAUUUCACAUGUCAUUCCAAUUUCUCCCUUCCUUCAGUUUGACAGAACUGAGGAAAGGCGAUCGACGAUCGACGAUCGGAAACGUUAUGAUUGGGUACUGUCCUCCAUGCCUGUGUAUAUAAAUCCAGAAAUCUUCUUGUAGAAACUUUGUAUUUUCACUUUGUACAUACUUCGUUAAUAAAGUGGAAUGAAUCAAUCAAUGUAUUAUUGAUUUCUGGACUUCUGUGAUAUGAAAUGCGUCCAUGAAUUUGCAAAUGAAUCCGAAGAUCAUCUAUGCCACCGCCUCCUUCACUCUUCCAAAUUGUUUUCGCUUUAUAAUUGUGCAUAAUUCAGUUUUGAGCUGCCGUUGGUUGCCAAAAUCUCGUAGGGACACUUUCAAUUAUUCACUGAAUCAUCCAUGGUUCUUGCUAUCUCAGAUUGAAUUUUUUUUUCCCUUUUAGGGAAAUGCAUUUAUGUUUCUUAAAUUCUUUUGCAUAUAGGUUAAAGAUUUAUUUAUUUUCAAUUAGAAGUGUAAUGACUCCGAAGUUCCUUCCAAAUAUCUGGAACCCAACUGAAAAUUGCAAUGUUUGGAGAAUAAAACCCCAUCUAACUGGGGGAAUUUUCGUGGAAGAUUAAAAAAUAAAUAAAUUUUUGAAAUUUUUUUAAAUAUAUAUAUAUAAAAUGAAAUCCAAGUUGCGAAAUUCAGCCUUCUAGAAUGAUAUUUCUUUGUUGUUAAGUAAAGUAUAAAAUGGGUUGUAACUGGAUUUUUUUUACUUCGGAAGAUGACGAACAACAUGUGUCAUAAUAAAAAAAGACCCUCUUGUCCUUUGUGGUUGAAUCCUGUUGGGGGCUGAGUUCAGUCCAUCCCAAUCAUAAGUUGUCUUUUUGGGAAAUCCAAAGAAAAUUUAUAACUUUACGUUAAAAGUAAAAAAAUUAAAAACCAACAAUUCUCUUCUCUUUGAAUGUAGGCACUUUAAAUAAGGCUUCUCUGGAGACUUUAAGUUAAUGAAGACAAAGAAUAUAGAAGUUAAAUGAUCAAAGCUAAAUUAAUUUUACAUUCCUACACACCCUACAAACACAAUGGUCACGGCUCAUAAAUUUUUUUUCCCAAAUUGAAGAGUAUAAUAAUUUUUAUAAAAUUUUCCAAGCGAGGGAAUUUGAUUCAAAAAGCGGUGAUUAAUGAAAAAGGAUCAUAUAACAAAAAAAAAAAAAGUCAAUUUAUUAGUGCCUUGAGUAAAAUAUUUCAAUUUGAAGAGAAAACACGUGAGGAAAAAUCACCCACUGGGAAGUUAGGGAGUUAGGGAGUUAGUACCGUAACUGUAAUGAAUUACGGCGGUCCACACAGAAUAUUCUGCCCUCAUGACUCAUCCGAGUUCAUUGUCUCACCAAGUCAGUUGCUUGGAAGCCAAGUUUCCGAGUUCAGCCCACUGCUUGGCCUACAUAUUCUUCUCUUCACUCACCUCUCUUUCAGAGAUCCACAGCUCAAUCUUGUGAUUUUGCUCUUUCUUUUGGGUUUUCGUUCUCCAUUUCUCCCUUCUUCUCCGAAGGGGUUCGCCUCUCGAUCCUCUGUUCUUUACUCUUUACUCCCUACUUCUCCUCUCUACGCCCUCUUCUCUCUCUUCACCGAGGGAUCGCGAAGUUAAUCGUCGGAUUCGCUUUCUUCCUGGGGUUUCAAAAUUUCUAUCCCCUGUUUUUGGUGUCUUCUCCUCCUCACUCCAUUCAGUGGUUUUCUAUGUUUCCUGGGUUUCAUCCCCUGUUUUCCCCUAAUGCCAAUUUUACCCUAAAGCAAGCAUUAAACGCGUGCCGUUAGAAUCGUACAAAGCCAGAAUCGUCUUCACCAUUGGGAUCCAUAUCUUUCACUAGGCAGGACUUAGGAGUAUUGUGGGCGCCUGUUUUGGGAUAUAUAUAGCGCACCAAACACCCUCGAGGAUCAUCCCCCAUUUCCAAAGGAUUCCACGCCUCAAUCCCUGUUUCUUUCUGCUCUGUUUCUUCAGCAAUGGAAACUGCAGUCUCCAGUAAUCCCAAUUACAAUCCAGGAAGACACCUCCCUCCUCAACAGAGAGGAGGGAUCAAAAAACAGAUAUUCAGAGACUUUCUCAAAUAUGUUAGUGCCAUCGCGCUUUUACUGGGCCAGAUGGAAGCAAAUCAAGGGGAUAGUGGCGGCCGUCGCGUUAGCUCCGCCUCCGCACCUCUUCCUGAAAUCCCUACUGGCUACACUUCAGAUCUGAGGCGUUGAUUCGUUAAUUAGAUUUGGCGAUGGCUGUCUUUUGAUAUAUGCUUGGAUGCCGAGAAAAUUUCACAUUUCAUUCCAAUUUCAUUCCAAUUUCUCCCUUCCUUCAGUUUGACAGAACUGAGGAAAGUCGAUCGACGAUCGACGAUCGGAAGCGUUAUGAUUGGGUACUGUCCUCCCCUGUAUAUAAAUCCAGAAAUCUUCUUGUAGAAACUUUGUACUUUCACUUUGUACAUACUUCGUUAAUAAAGUGGAAUGAAUCAAUCAAUGUAUUAUUGAUUUCUGGAUUACUGUGAUAUGAAAUGCGUCCAUGAAUUUGCAAAUGAAUCCGAAGAUCAUCUAUGCCACCGCCUCCUUCACUCUUCCAAAUUGUUUUCGCUUUAUAAUUGUGCAUAAUUCAGUUUUGUGCUGCCGUUGGUUGCCAAAAUCUCGUAGGGACACUUUCAAUUAUGCACUGAAUCAUCCAUGGAAUCCACCAAACCGGCAAUUCCUAUACAUGGUUCUUGCUAUCUCAGAUUGAAAUUUUUUUUUUCCCUUUGAGGGAAAUGCAUUUAUGUUUCUUAAAUUCUUUUGCAUAUAGGUUAAAGAUUUAUUUAUUUUCAAUUAGAAGUGUAAUGACUCCGAAGUUCCUUCCAAGUAUCUGGAACCCAACUGAAAAUUGCAAUGUUUGGAGAAUAAAAUCGCAUCUAACUGGGGGAAUUUUCGUGGAAGAUUAAAAAAUAAAUAAAAUUUUGAAUUUUUUUAAUAUAUGUAUAUAUAUAUAUAUAUAAAAUGAAACCCACGUUGCGAAAUUCAGCCUUCUAGAAUGAUAUUUCUUUGUUGUUAAGUAAAGUAUAAAAUGGGUUGUAACUGGAAAUGUUAUUUUAUUUUAUUUUUAUAGGCGUUACUCAUUUUUAUUUUAUUUUUUUUUACUUCAGAAGAUGACGAACAACAUGUGUCAUAAUAAAAAUACCCUUUUGUCCUUUGUGGUUGAAUCCUGUUGGGGGCUGAGUUCAGUCCAUCCCAAUCAUAAGUUGUCUUUUUGGGAAAUCCAAAGAAAAUUUAAAACUUUAUGUUAAAGUAAAAAAAUUAAAAACCAACAAUUCUCUUCUCUUUGAAUGUCGGCAUUUUAAAUGAGGCUUCUCUCGUGACUUUAAGUUAAUGAAGACAAAGAAUAUAGAAGUUAAAUGAUCAAAGCUAAAUUAAUUUUACAUUCCUACACACCCUACAAAACAAUGGUCACGGCUCUUAAAUUUUUUUUCCCAAAUUGAAGGGUAUAUUAAUUUUUAAAAUUUUUUCCAAGUGAGGGAAUUUGAUUCAAAAAGCGGUGAUUAAUGAAAAAGGAUCAUAUAACAAAAAAAAAAAAAAAAGUCAAUUUAUUAGUGCCUUGAGUAAAAUAUUUAAAUUUGAAGAGAAAACACGUGAGGAAAAAUCACCCACUGGCAGUUAGGGAGUUAGUACUGUAACUGUAAUGAAUUACGGCGGUCACACAGAAUAUUCUGCCCUCAUCCGAGUUCAUUGUCUCACCAACUCAGCUGCUUGGAAGCCAAGUUUCUGAGUUCAGCCCCACUGCUUGACCUAUAUAUUCUUCUCUUCACUCACCUCUCUUUCAGAGAUCCAGAGCUCAAUCUUGUGAUUUUGCUCUUUCUUUUGGGUUUUCGUUCUCUAUUUCUCCCUUCUUCUUCUCCGAAGGGGUUCGCCUCUCGAUCCUCUGUUUCUUGGUUUCCAUCCCUCUGUUCUUUACUCUUUACUCCCUACUCCUCCUCUCUACGCCCUCUUCUUUCUCUUCACCGAGGGAUCGCGAAUUUAAUCGUCGGAUUCGCUUUCUUCCUGGGGUUUCAAAAUUUCUAUCCCCUGUUUUUGGUGUCUUCUCCCUACUCCAUUCAGUGGUUUUCUCUGUUUCCUGGGUUCCAUCCCCUGUUUUCCCCUAUCUUUUAUUUAGCUUCGAAACUGUUCAAACCCAUCUCCUGCAAAUGGAUACUCCAGUGUCUAUUUCCAAAGACAGACCAGAACGACGCUUCCCUCCACCUAGAGGACGAGUCAAAAAAGAAAUUUUCAAAAGCCUGGUGAAAUCUUUCGGCACAGUUGCAGGAAGGGCGAGUGGGGCGAUAAGGAAGCGAGAAGAAAAUGGUGGUCGGCUCAGCUCGACCUCCACUACUCCCGCUGAAACUCCCAGUGGAUACAGCUCAGAUGGGUAGUCUUGAUCCACUGAAUUCAUAUUUCUCAACUCCCCUGUACAGUUGGUGAACGCUGACCUGCGAUGCUAUUUGGAUUCCUAGAAAGUGUUUCAUUUUUUCAUUUUCUUGUUCCUUUUCUUUCGAUGGAAAGAGAAGAGGCGUUGAAGAUUGGAAUUCUCUGUUGAUUGUUGUAAUAUAAAAAUAAAAUCAUGAGCCCAGAGAUGUUCUCAUCUGUAAACAUAUGAUUCUGGUGUUCCGAGCCUGUGUCAUUUUAGCAAAUUUUGGAACAAUAUUAAUUCAUGGAAAUGUGACGAGAAUGAUGAUUUGUUCUCCCAGUUUUCUCAAACACUUGCUACAUUUUUUUUUUUCUCAGAUUCUCUGUUCUUCAUUGAAAGCAGAGGAAAAUAAGUUCAUAUCUACUAGGAUAGAUCUUGAAGAUAAUGCAUAUAAUUCAGAUCAUGGGGUCUGUUUGGAUCGGAUGAUUUUCGAUUCUCUUGAAAAUUUGAACUCCUAAAUCGCCAAUCUCCCUACAGCAACAUUUGGUUUAAGUUCUCUGUUUAAGUCAAUACAAGAACAAUAUUUUGCUAUUCGGUCAGGUAUUUUAAAACCUAUUUGAUUUGAUUUGUAUACGCCUUUUGGAAGGUCCCUUUCCUUCAUUCUUAUACACAAUCUUUUAUUAGGUUCUAAUAAUUAAAAUAAUUUGAUUAUGAUUAAUUUAAGCAUGGAAGUUAGGGUUAUGAAAAAAGAUAAUGUAUUUUAAGUUUCAAGAAUGGGCAUCAUUAAGAAAAUAACAAAGAGAGUGAGUCAGUUGAGGGCGGCCCAGCCGAGGGUGGCCCAGCCUUUUGGGCACAGGUUACCAUGCAAUACUAGGCUGGGGACGCCUGCAGUGAAUAAAUUAUAUCAUCUCAGUCCCAUGUGACUUCAACACGGUCUCCCUCAAGACUCUCAAUAAGUCAUCCUUACGUGAAUUUGUUAGUUGAAUAAUUUGAGAAAAAAAAUAUUAAAAAAAAAGGAGAAAAAUAGGGGGAAAUAAAAUAUAUAUAUUUAAGUCAUCCUUACAUAUUUAUUUUUUAUUUUUUAAAAAUAAAUAUGUAUGAACGGUCAUAUCAUAGCCUCUUGUAACUCAAUAAGUUGUUGGUAACAAUUCUUGUAAUAAUUAUAGUAGGCUAAAAUUGAUGUAUUAAUGUAUAUUUUUUAUUUUGUUUUUUAAGGUUUGCUUGAUAGUAAUUUUAUAAAAUGUUUUUAACUUUUUUUAACAUUUAAGAAAUAUUUAUUUUUUUAAGUGUUAGAAACAAAUUCAAGUGCUAAAAAAAAUUAAAAACAUUUUCUAGAAUUAUUGACAAAUAGACUACUACUAUGCUAAAAAUUUCAAAAUAUCGUGAUAAAACCAUUUUUUAAAAUUAUUGUUAAAUAGAUUUUAUAUCAUUACAUGUAUUUUAAUUUUAAUAAUAUGUUAUAUUAAUGUCUAAGUUGGUAAUUAUGUGUUGUAUUAAAAUUAGUGAGAAACUUAUAUAUAUUAAAAUUAUUUCAUCACUAUAUCGAAAAAAAUAAAUUAAAUUAAAUCAUUUUAAAAUAAUAUAUAAAAAUAAUUUAUUGAUUUUUUUUAAAAAAAUUUCUCUCUCCUUUUUUCUUGUAUUUUCUCUCAAAUUUUUUAAAAAUCAAACAUUGCCUUAAUUACAUAAUAAAGAAUCUCAGAACAUAAAAAUAUUUUUAAAUGUUAAUAUUUUUAUCAUCACUAAAAUUGAUAGUUACUCCAUAGAAGUCAGCCUUCCAGAAUAUGGAAGCUGGUGUUCCUUGGUCCUUAAGCGAAAAGGAUGUCUGUGGUAUUUUACCACAAGGAAUAGAAUAUGAUUGGACUAGAUUUGGCCUUCAGUUUCUUUUGACUGACCAUAUCUAGAAUCGAAAUCCUAGCUGGCAACAAAAGACACAUUGACUGAGUCAAGCUAAACCUUCUUUAUUGACUCAACAACAACUCUCGAUAAAAAGAAUCACUGUAAGAUGAUAUUUUACAAUUGGGUCAAAGCUAAUGUUUGUUUAGGAUAAAAAAAUAGACACUACCCUACCCUUUUCCUUCCUUGGUUGAUAGAAAAUAAUAUGGGAGUGAAAGGCAUUGUAAGGUAGACCUUUUUGAUAGGUUACGAAAAGGCAUCCCUAAUAAAAUGUGUUAACUGGUUUCAUAAUUUUAUAUCUGAAUCUUAAUCAUUUGAAUUUUAUAUAUGUCCUAAUAUUUUAUGCCUGGAUGACAAUUUCGAAACGGGUCGUUCUCAUCUCAACUUUGCCUAUUUAAUUCUUUAAAAAAAAAUUAUUUUUAAAAUUUUAAAUUAUAUUAAAAUAAAUAUAUUUUAUAAAUAAUUAAAAUAUUAUAAUUUUUUAUAACUUAUUUUAUUAGAAAAAAUUAUUAUUAUUAUAUAUUAAAAAUAGAAAAAUUUAAAAAUUAUUGGAUUUAUCAAAAUUCUAAAGGCUUGAUUUCAUAUUGCUAAAAAUUUUAGAAAAAAUAUAGAUAUGUAAAGGAAAAGUACUGAUCAUGAUUCAUUCAAAACUAGUUUUGUUCUUCUUUUUUUUUGUUUUAAUUGGUUUUAUUUUUUAGUUUUAAAUUAUUUUUAAAAAUUACUAAAUUCAUUUAAAAUAAAUUCAAUGCAUUAAGUUUUGCUCAAUUUGAAGUUCAUUUGCUAGUAAAAAAAAUCUUAAAAUAUAAUCAUGUUUAAAAAAGAAAUAACAAACUCUUUUUGUACUAGUUUUAGUUUGUGAAUUUUUUUAUACUAACCGGGUUUUUAAGUUUCAAAUUAGUUUUUAUAUAAACUUGUAAACAAAUACAAUGCAUUAAAUCUUAAUAAUUUAUUUUAGACAAAAUUUUUGUCUAUUAAUGUUUAUGUGAACUCGCAUUUUUCAAAUGCACUCCCAAUCAAUGCCAAGACUAGUUUUUAUUGUGAAAAAACAUUUUUAAAAGAAAAUAAAAAUAAAGUUAUUACUUAUUUUUGUGUGUUUUUUUUAAGGAAAAUAAAAUAAAAUAAGAAAUAAAAUCUUAAAGUGUUUACUUUAAAAAGGAAAAACAUGCCUAUAAAAAUCGAGUUUAAGCCUAAGAGUUAGCUUACUUAUUGAAAAGGAACUAGAGGGUAAUAUCCCUCUAAACCCCUAAAAAUGUCUCUUUUAAACAAGCAAACAAAAUUAUAACGAUCAAUUAAUCACAAAUAUCAAUAAAAAGUAUGAGACAAGUACAUACAAACAAGAUAAGAUGAAAAACAAAUUAUAAUGAUAUAAAACAUUGGCAAAGGGAUUGCACAAAUUAACUUAUUAGACUUUUUUUUUAAAUGAUUAUUUUCAAAUAUUACAAGAUUUGCAAAGAAGAACUUUAUUCACUAAAAUCAAUUUCUAGUUAAUGAUUUCAAUUUAUUUAUUCACAAAAAAAAUUGAUUUUUAUUUUGGUUCAAAUUUGUUUCCAAAAUGACGUUUCCUUACUUUUAUUGAAAGAGUUUAUUAAGAGUCUAUAUAAUACAAUAACUUAGUAAAUUAUAACAACUUGAUAGUCUUAUAUCAAAAUUCACAGUAGGUCUAGUCUAAUGUGUAACUAUACACACUAGUGCACUCACAAUGAGAAAUUUAUCCCAACGGUCAAGACAAGUCAUUCAUUUAAUUUGGAUGUAAUGCAUUACAGUUUCUAUAGAAUUGCUCAAAUUUAUAAACUGGCCAUGAAUUACUUAUCAUUUUGCAAAGAACUCAUGAUUUAUAUCUUUUAUGCAACUUUUAAUACAUGCAAGUCAUAUACAAUACAAGUGAAACGAGCAUACUCAAAUCAAAAUCAAUGCAAAAAGCAAAUAGAAAGUCAAGUCUAAUUUUAUUACAUCAUAUCUUAUUUUUAAGGGUUUUAUCCCAACACUUGAAGCCUUCAAAGAUUCAUAACAACCUUGUUGACGAUUCAAGACCUAGCUUGAAAAUUCAAAAUCACUCUUGAGAAGAGUUGGAGAGACCACCUACAAGAUUCAAAAUGCACUUCAAGCCUUCAAAGAUUUAUAAGCUCUUCAAACUUUCAAAGAUUAAAGAACAAGUUUGAAGGUCUAAAAAACAAGUUUGAAAAGAUUCAAAAAAACUCUUCAAGCACUUGAAAAUUAAAGAACAAGUUUGAAGGUCCAAAAAAACAAGUUCAAAAUAUCUUCAAUUUGAGAUCAAAUAUUCAUGCCCUCACUUAACAUCAUUCAAGUCCAGCCAAGUUCUAGGCCUAAGCCAAGUUAACAUAAAAAGUCUAUGUCCAGGCUUAAGCCCAAGUCACUCAACUCAAAUCUAAAAUGAAAAAUUCAAGCCCUCACGUAACAUUGUUUAAGUCAAGCAAAGGCUCAGCCGCUCAAGUCCUACCAUGGCCUAAGUUGACUAAGCCACAUCAAGGAUCAAAUCAAGUUAAAGCCCAAGACCACCAAGGUCCAAUCCACGCUAAGGUUGAAACAAGUCAAGGCCCAAAACAUUCCUAAUCAUGGAGAUGAUGGUCAAUGUUGAGAUCAUCAUCUCCAUAUUCAUGAUGGCCAGACCUUCCUCCAUUCACAAUAUCAAUUACUAAUUUAUUUUUUUAAAAUGGGCAUUUCAACUGGGACGAAGACAAUAAAUUACCAUUAUAUCCAAAUAUAAAAAAAAAAUACAUUCUUUAUAUAAGAUAAUGUAUUCUAAAAUUCAACAAUGGGCUGGCCUCCAUUAUGAAAAUGAAAAUGAGAUGGAGCGUGUCAGUCAGUUGUGGCCAGCCCAACAUUAUAUUGGACUGGGCCGCUCCGAUAUUGUAUGGAGACCUCCAAGCAAAGAGUACAUCCCCUCAUUUACAUGUAACUCCUACACGAUCGUCACAAGUCAGAAAGGUAAGAGUUUUUAUAAAUUCAUUUUAUUCCUUUAUUUUCGAGUGGGGAUAUAUUCAAUCGCACGUAUAUUUGGCAACAAAAGACAUGGUAACAAAAUUUUAAUGUAUUGAUUGGGUAUUUAUCCAACUUGUAAUAUCGAUUAUUGAAAGUGAACAAUUAAAUAGGAGUUGUCUAGUGAAACUUAAAACAAAUGGAAUCUUAUUAUAAUCUACUGUUAAAUAAGAGUAUGUUUAAUAUUGAUUUUAUAAAAUGUUUUUGGCAUUCCUAAUUAUUGGAAGAUAAAAAUUUUCAAGUGUAAAAAAUAUUAGAAAUGCUUUUUAAAAUCAGUAUCAAACGCACUCUAGUUCAAUAAAAAGAAUCUCCUUUAAUAAUAUUUCAUAAUUUGAUCAAAAUGAAUGAUGCUAUGAAAGAAAAUAGAAAGAAGAUGAUAAUCAUAAAAGUAAAAAAUUGAUUAAAAGCUUAUAAUACAACAGAGCAUCGGAGGAACAAAUAUUUGAUAAAAAGUGUUUCUACUAUCAACUACAUGGAUGAUAAAGAGAUUAAGAGUAUGUUGGGCAUUAAUUUUAAAAAGUGUUUCUAACUUUUCCAAUGUUUGGAAAAUAAAAAAAUUUAAAUGCUAGAAAAGUUAAAAAUAUUUUCUAGAAUCAUUAUCAAACAUACUCUAAGAGUCUGUUUGAUAAUGAUUUUUUGAAACGUUUCUAAUUCUUCUAAUAUUUAAAAGAUAAAAAAAUUUAAGUGCUAAAAAGGUUAAAAGCACUUCCUAAAAUUACUAUCAAACAUACAUUAAACGUGCAUUUGAUAGUAAUUUUAGAAAGUAUUUAUAUUAUUUUUAAUACUUGAAAAUAAAAAUUUUCAAGUAUUAUAAAUAUUAGAAACAUUUCAUACAAUCACCGCUAAACGCACUCUUAGAGUACGUUUCUAGCCUUUAUGACACUUUGAAAUUUUCAUCAUUCAAGUAUUAAAAAUAUUAUAAAUAUUUCUCAUAAUUACUGUUAAACGUAUUUUAAGAGUGUGUUUGACAAUGUUUUUAAUCGAAGUAUUUUUGGAACUAUUUUCUCUUAAAGUGUUUUUAGGACAAUUAUCUUUAAGUGUUUCUCCAUAAAACACUAUAAAUGAUUUUUUAAUUAUAUGAAAAAAAAAGUCAAAAUUUUAAAAAUGUUUCUUAAAUGAAACACUUGAUUUUAAAAAAAAACCAAUAAAACACUUUUUAGGUUAAUAAUGUUUUUCAAAAACAAUGUCAAAAGUACUCUAAAAUUGAGAUAGUACGAAAUUGGAAAAAUAUAUUCAAGUUUGACUUUUUCACAUGAGAAAAUUAAUUUUCAAAGAAUAAAUUUAUGAUUCUGGGACUCGAUCGAUCUUUUUAGAAAUUGAAUAAAUGAAACUUAGAACCCAUUUGAUAGUGAAUUUAGGAAACACUUCCAAUAGUUUUAACCCUUGAAAAAAAUUAUCAUUCAAGUGUUAGAAAUAUUGGAAAUGUUUUCUAAAAUUAGUACCAAAUCCACUCUUAAUUAAAGGAUGUAAUAUAAAUGAAUAAAAUGAAGCUACAUUAUACUCUCAUGUAUAAGUGGAUUAAUAAAAAGACACUAUGUACACCCUUAAUUUAUCCUUUUAGAGAAGCAUACUGCUGCAAUAAUACAUAUACAACCAAAGCAGUAAAUCAGGCUCAACAGUAUCUGUGUGGAUCUUGUCUCAAUGGACCUUUAACUCUUACCGUCAAAUAAAGUUUCUUGAUCACCAUUAAAAUGCAUGAAGUGUAAUUAAACUUUCUAAGCCCUACUCUCAAGUAAGUGUGAAAUUUUUUAGCACUAUGUCAUUAGCAAGCUUUAAGGGAUGAGUAAGCAAUCUUUUGCACGAUGAUAAUAUCCUUAAAUGACUUGUACUAGUUGAGAAAUUUGGGUACUACUUGCUAUUUGCUAAGUAGGUGAAAGCUUUAAUUCUAAUAUAUAAUAUAUUAGUGCAAGAACAUAAAAAUAAAAUUAUUCACGUGGCUGGAUCAAUUAUACUCAUAUAAAUGAAAAUUAAUCAUUUUACUAUGUGAUAAAAUAAACAUAUACAAUUAUUGAAUUUUAAAACAUCUCAUGCUCUCAUACUUUUUGUAUUUAUAUCCUAAAUUGAGAGGUCUUAUUUUAUUAGGUGUCUCAUACUUCCCCACAUCUAUAUUUAUUUAGUAUAAACUUUAUAUGACCGUUUUCAUAUCAUUACUUUUUUCUACUCAUUACUUCAAAUAUAUAAAUAUAGAAAUCGUCUAGAAAGGUUGUGUUCACUUUGUACAUACUUCAUUAACAAGGUGGAAUGAAUCAAUCAAUGUAUUAUUGAUUUCUAUGCCUUCCCCCCGGGCUUCAAUCUUCCAAAUUGUUUUUGCUUUAUAAUUGUGCAUAAUUCAAUUUUGUGUCAUCUCUGGUUAACAAAAUCUCGUAGGGACACUUUCAAUUAUUCAUUGAAUCAUCCAUGGAAUGAGAAUUGUACUUCGAGGUAAGAUGGACCUAAAAAGUGACCCAAGGUUCCUCUAUCACCUAUAAUUAAUUUUAAGGAUAUAAAAUGGUGAUAGACUAAAAUGCUCAUUUAACUCAUCACAUGCUUGUGCUGAUUUUUGUGGAACUCAUGAUUUAUUGAAUUCUUUUAUCUUUAUUGCAUCUCAAUUCACAUACCCAGGACAAUUCUAUUUUAACCGUUUGGAUUUUUCACUAUUUUUUAAAACUUUUUUUUAUAAAUAAUUGAAAAUUAGCAUUGUUUUCUAUUUUAAAUUACAAAUAAAGAAAAAUUAAAUCAAUGACUCAAAAACCAUUUUAAAAAAUACUUUCUAAAAAAAAUAUGGUAAUAAGAUUUUUAUUUUUUAUAUUUUCCUUUUGAAAAUAUGUUUAAUUGAUAAUGAAAACUAUUUUUAAAAAUGAAAAUUGAAAACCUUGUUUAGUACUAUUUUUUUCAUAUGAAAAUAAUAAAAAGAAUUAAAUUCCAUUUAUUGAUUAUCCAUUUUUAUUUUCUCCAUUAGUUAUUUUAAUAAUAAAAUAAAAAUAUAUAUAGUAUGUUCACAAUUAAACAAAGAAAUUGGUCAAUUGUGUGUUUUUUUGUGUGACUAUUUUUUACAUGAAAAAAUUAAAUAACUAAAUUAUAUAUAUUUAUUACUCUUUUUAAUUUUAUUUCCUCUAUUAGUGUUUUUUUUUUUUUGUGUAAUAGAAAAUUUUAAUAUAUCCAUAAUUAACAAAGUAAUAGAUUAAUUGUGUACAUUUUAAUCUAUUAAAAUAAAUUAUUUUCUAAUUUAAAUAAAUAAAAUGAAAUAAGUAAAUAAAUUUGGGGUUAUUUCUAUUUUCUAACAUAUCUAAUAUUAAUAUUUUUUUAGGGAAAAGUGGAAUUUGAUUUACUAAUNNNNNNNNNNNNNNNNNNNNNNNNNNNNNNNNNNNNNNNNNNNNNNNNNNNNNNNNNNNNNNNNNNNNNNNNNNNNNNNNNNNNNNNNNNNNNNNNNNNNUAGGGAAAAGUGGAAUUUGAUUUACUAAUAUGAAAAUAUCUUGAAAAAAGAACCUCAAAUAUUUUAAAUUAGUAUUAUUUUCAUCUAUUUAAAAAUAAUUUGAAAUCCAUGCACUUUUUAAUAAGUUGUACAAUUAUUCCCAAAAAUGUUCAUUUACUUAUCAUAUCAUCAAAAUCAAUUGAUAACUAAACUCUUUCACGUAAAUGUUUCCUUUCUUUAAGAUUUUAUUAUUAUUAUUAUUAUUAUUAUUAUUAUUAUUUUAUUAUUUAGGAAUUUUUUUUCUCUAGAAACAUUAUUAAGAAUUUGAAAAAAAAAAAUUAUUCUAGUAUUAAUAAGUUAAAAAUAAAUUCAUAUUCUUGACAAUAAAUAAACCAAUAAUAAAUUUUUAUUUAUUAUAUAAUAUUAAUAAUUUUAAAAUAUAAUAGCGAAUAAAAUUUAUUGUAAGAGUUUUUCAGAUAUAAAAUGUUUUACAAUAUGGUUGUAUUUUGAUAUAUAGUAUAAAAAUAAAUAAAUAAAUAAUGAUUUCUUAUUAAAUAGAUUAAUCAUAAUUAAAAUAAUGAUAUAUUACUAAAUUUAUUAUUUAUUAUUUAAUAAACAACCUUAUUACUUUUUGAAUUGGUAAUUAUGAUUAAAUAGGAUUUGUUUGACAAUAUGUUCUCUUAAAAUUCUAAGAAAUAAAAAAAUAUUAAUCCUAUUUAAAUAGGAUUUUUUUGGCAUAAUAUUUCCUAAUCUUUUAAGAAACUAGAAUAAGAAUCCUACGAGGUGUUUGUUUCUAGAGAAAAAAAAUCAAAAUAAUAAAAUAAUGAUAAUAAUAAUAAAUAAAUAAAAUAUAUAUAUAUAUAUACACAUAUAUAUGUAAAAAGAAGGGAAACAUCUAUACGGAGGAGUCUAGUUAUCAAUUGAUUUGAAUGAUAUGACAAGUAAAUGAGUAUUUUUUGGAAUAAUUGGAUGACUCGUUAAAAAGUACAUAUAUUUCAAAUUAUUUUUAAAUAAAUGAAUAUAAUACUAAUUUAAAAUUUUUGGGUUCUUUUUUCCAUUUUCAUAUUAGUAAGUCAAAUCCCACUUUUUUUUUUUUUUUUCCUGUCAUCCAAGAAAUACACACUCUCCUAUCAUAAAUUCUUUCAUUUCAUAUACUUUAUUUAAUUCGUAUAUACAAAUCAAAACUUACCUCAAUAAUGAUGUUUGAAGAAAAAUUUUGUUUUUACAUUUUACGUUCACACAUUCUAUGUAGACACAUAAUGUAUGCAUGUAAAUGAAAUUUGUAUCAUUGUACAAGUGUGUUAUACUAAUUGUACAAGGGGUGUACAAAGUUAUCAUUUGUGAAGGAUUUCAAUCGAUUUUGGACAACCUUUUUUUUUUUUUUUUUUUGUCUUGUCAUCUAAGGAUUGCACUCUCAUGGCAUACAUUCCUCUAUCAUACACUUAUCUUAUGAACUUUAUUUAACUCACAUGCGACAAUUCAAAUACUUAUCCCACUAAUGACGCUUGAAGCAAAAUUUUGUUUUUAUGUCUUCCAUUAUUUUGUGAUCCAAACCAAUAAAAACAUGGUUAACCUAUCUAUGAACACAUAUUGAGUAGGGAGUAUAUGGAAUUUGGGCCACUAUACAAGAUAUUUAUACUAAGUGUAUAAGACAAAAAUAUUAAUUAUAUUAUGGUGUACAAGACCGUUAUUUGUAAAAAAAUUUAUGUGAUUUUGAAAAACUCAUUUGUUUAUUUCCCAUAACCAAUGAUAAAUGACAUUCCUCACACACAUUGAUUAAGCAUAUAUUAAUUUUAUGCAUUUUAUUAUAUGGUCAUUUGAAUACUUAUCUCACUAAUUAUAAUUAUAUAACAAAAUUGUACAACAAUUUUUCCUUUUUUUUUAAAACUAAACCAAUGCAAACAUAAUUAAUCAAUCCAUUGUCAAAUAUUCAUGAGACGAUGUAUGAAAUUUGAGUUAUUGUAUAAAUGCAUUACACUAGUUGUAUAAGACAAUUUUACUAAUUGUAUAAGGGUAUGCAUGAUUGCUUCUUGUUAAGGAUUUCAAGUGAUUUUGAAUUUUUUUUUUCACUUAAGGACUUCACAAUUUCCCCACUCAAAUUCUCUCACUCAAAAAUUGUUUGGACUUUUAUUUUUAAAUUUCAUCAUCAAAAUUUUGUAAUUGUAUAUUUUGUUUUUGUAGUUUAACAAUGUUCUUUCUUUCCACCAUUUUUUUUUUUGUGAAAUUUUAUCAAAAUGAAUCUAUAUUUAAAAAUCUAAUUUAAAAUUAUAAUAAUAUUUCACAAAUUUUUUACUAAGAUUAUCUUAAAUUCUUUUAAUAUAUUUGUACUCAUUUAUUUAAAAAAUAAAAAACUAACUUUCUAUAAACAUGUUCUAUUACCUUUCAAGUAAAAAAUUAAAAUAACUUUGAAAGUCAAUAAAAAAAAUUAAAUACUACAUUCAAUCAUUUUUAGAUAAAAUUUUAUAUAAUAUAUUUCAUUUGAAAUUUAAUUUAUAAAGUUUUACUAAAAAAUUGCAUUGACAAAUCUUGUUGUGAGUCAAAAUACUUUUCAUUAGUUUAUCUAGAUAAGAAAAAAUAUUAAUAUAAUAUUAGAACUUCAUAUUUUAAUUAUUUUUUCAAUAAAUUUAUCUUUUCAAAAUUAUAUAUAUUUAAAAUAAGAGUAAAGUGAUAAUCAAUUUUUUUAAAUAUGGUUAAUGUGGAAAAUAUAAAAAAUAAUUAAAAAUAAGAGAAAAAAUAUAAAUAAAAGGGUAAUGUAAAUUUAAAAUAAAAAAUGAAAAUUAAACUAAAAGAUAAAUACAAAAAGAUAAAAAUAUUUGGACGAAAAAUCUCAAAAUUUUUAUGGAUUCAACAUCUUAAAAAACAAAAAGAAAAAGAAAACAUAAUUGUCUUUUAUUUGACAUAAAAUGGAAAUAUAGAUUGAGAGAAAAGAAAAUAUAUUAAAAUGGGUAAGUUUCUCAAAGUAGAAAGUUAGAAAUGGGUAACUGGUAAACUUAGCUGAACUUAGCUUGCGAGCCAAGUUUCUUUGUUCACCCGACUGCUUCGCCUACAUAUGCUUCACUCCCCUUUCACAGAUCCACAGAUCAAUCUUGUUAUUUGGCUCUUUCUUUUGGGUUUUCGUUCUCUGUUUCUCCCUUCUUCUCCAAAGUUGUUCGCCUCUCAAUCCUCUGUUUCUUGGUUUCCAUCCCCUCUUUUCUUUACUCCUUUCUCCUCUCUACACCCUCUUCUCUCUCUUCACCGAGGGAUCACGAAUUUAAUCAUCUGAUUCUCAGUCUUCCUGGGGUUUCAAAUUUUCUAUCCCCUGUUAUUGGUGUGUUCUCGUCCUCACUCCAUUCAGUGGUUUUCUCUGUUUCCUGAGUUUCAUAGCCUGUUUUUCCCUAUAUUUUCUUUAGCUUCGAAACUGUUCAGACCCAUCUCCUGCAAAUGGUUAGUCUAGCGUCUAUUUCCAAAGUCAAACCAGAAAAACGCUUCCCUCCACCUAGAGGACGAGUCAAAAAAGAAAUUUUCAAAAGCCUGGUCAAAUCGGUCGGCGCAGUUGCAGGAAUGGCGCGUGGGGUGAAAGGGAAACGAGAAGAAAAUGGUGGUCGGCGCAGCACGACCUCCACUACUCCCGCUGAACUCCCAGUGGGUACAGCUCGGAUGGGUAGUCUUAUGACUCUUAUCCACUGAAUUCAUAUUUCUCUACUCCCCUGUACGGUUAGUGAGCACUGGUCUGCGGUGUUGUUUAGAUUCCUAGAAAUUGUUUCAUUUUUUCAUUUUCUUUUGCCUUUUCUUUCGAUGGAAAGAGAGGGGGCGUUGAAGGUUGGAAUUCUCUAUUGGUUAAUCAUGAACCCAGAAAUAUGCUCAUCUGUAUACAUAUGAUUCUGGUGCUUCGAGUCUGUCUCAUUUUAGCAAAUUUUGAAAGAAUAUUAAUUCAUGGAAAUGUGAUGAGAAUGAUGAUUUGAUCUCCCAGUUUUCUAAAACACUUCUUACCUUUUUUUUUCUCAAAUCAUCUGUUCCUCGUUGAAAGCAGAGGAAAAUAAGUUCAUAUCUACUAGGAUAGAUCUUGAAGAUAAUUCAGAUCAUGGGGUCUGUUUGGAUCGGAUGAUUUUCGAUUCUCUUGAAAAUUUGAACUCCUAAAUCACCAAUCUAAUAAUUAAAAUAAUUUGAAUCUUUUAUUAGAUUCUAAUAAUUAAAAUAAUUUGAUUAUGAUUAAUUUAAGCAUGGAAGUUAGGGUUAUGAAGAAAAAGGACAAUGUAUUUUAAGUUUCAAGAAUCGGCAUCAUUAAGAAAAUGACAAAGAGAGUGAAUGAGUGAGGCACUUGAGGGCGGCCCAUCUGUCGGCGGCCCAGCCUUUUGGGUUCAGGUUACCAUGCAACACUGGGCUGGGAGUGCCUGCAUUGAAUAAAUUAUAUCAUCCC
rnacentral:lncRNA from 1 species